UACGUAGGGUGCAAGCGUUGUCCGGAAUUAUUGGGCGUAAAGAGCUCGUAGGCGGCUUGUCGCGUCGGCUGUGAAAACUCGGGGCUCAACCCCGAGCCUGCAGUCGAUACGGGCAGGCUAGAGUCCGGCAGGGGAGACUGGAAUUCCUGGUGUAGCGGUAAAAUGCGCAGAUAUCAGGAGGAACACCGGUGGCGAAGGCGGGUCUCUGGGCCGGAACUGACGCUAAGGAGCGAAAGCGUGGGGAGCGAACAGG
rnacentral:rRNA from 1 species